CAGAGAGUAGUUUAGAUCAGAACGCUAGCUUUGGGAGCUAGUGGCGGGGGUUUAAGUCCCCUCUCUCUGA
rnacentral:tRNA from 3 species